GACGAACGCUGGCGGCGUGCUUAACACAUGCCAGUCGAACGGUGAACUCCGCUUGCGGGGGGAUCAGUGGCGAACGGGUGAGUAACACGUGGGCAACCUGCCCUCAGCUCUGGGAUAACUCCAAGAAAUUGGGGCUAAUACCGGAUAUGACCGCUGACCGCAUGGUCUGGUGGUGGAAAGAUUUAUCGGCUGGGGAUGGGUCCGCGGCCUAUCAGCUUGUUGGUGGGGUAGUGGCCUACCAAGGCGACGACGGGUAGCCGGCCUGAGAGGGUGACCGGCCACACUGGGACUGAGACACGGCCCAGACUCCUACGGGAGGCAGCAGUGGGGAAUAUUGCGCAAUGGGCGAAAGCCUGACGCAGCGACGCCGCGUGGGGGAUGACGGCCUUCGGGUUGUAAACCUCUUUCAGCAGGGACGAAGCGAAAGUGACGGUACCUGCAGAAGAAGCACCGGCCAACUACGUG
rnacentral:rRNA from 1 species